rnacentral:rRNA from 1 species
GAACGCGAAGAACCUUACCUACCCUUGACAUGUCUGGAAUCCUGAAGAGAUUUGGGAGUGCUCGAAAGAGAGCCAGAACACAGGUGCUGCAUGGCCGUCGUCAGCUCGUGUCGUGAGAUGUUGGGUUAAGUCCCGCAACGAGCGCAACCCUUGUCAUUAGUUGCUACGAAAGGGCACUCUAAUGAGACUGCCGGUGACAAACCGGAGGAAGGUGGGGAUGACGUCAGGUCAUCAUGGCCCUUAUGGGUAGGCUACACACGUCAUACAAUGGCCGGGACAGAGGGCUGCCAACCCGCGAGGGGGAGCUAAUCCCAGAAACCCGGUCGUAGUCCGGAUCGUAGUCUGCAACUCGACUGCGUGAAGUCGGAAUCGCUAGUAAUCGCGGAUCAGCUUGCCGCGGUGAAUACGUUCCCGGGUCUUGUACACACC